GACGUAGGGCGCGAGCGUUGUCCGGAUUUAUUGGGCGUAAAGAGCUCGUAGGCGGCUUGUCGCGUCGACUGUGAAAACUCGGGGCUCAACUCCGAGCUUGCAGUCGAUACGGGCAGGCUAGAGUUCGGCAGGGGAGACUGGAAUUCCUGGUGUAGCGGUGAAAUGCGCAGAUAUCAGCAGGAACAUCAGAGGCGAAGGCGGCCACCUGGGCAAAUACUGACGCUGAGGAACGAAAGCAUGGGGAGCAAACAGG
rnacentral:rRNA from 1 species